rnacentral:ncRNA from 1 species
CUACCGGCGUCGAGAGUCGCUGGGAUGGCGGUGCAGAAGUCAGCAGAGGCCAUACUAGGCGCGCGGUUGGCGCUGAAGGGC